rnacentral:rRNA from 1 species
GACGAACGCUGGCGGCGUGCUUAACACAUGCAAGUCGAACGGAAAGGCCUGCUUUCCCUUGUGGAUUGCGGGUACUCGAGUGGCGAACGGGUGAGUAACACGUGAGUGAUCUGCCCCCAACUUGGGUAUAAGCCUGGGAAACUGGGUCUAAUUCCCGAUAGGACUGCAGGGUGGUGCCUGUGGUGGAAAACGAUUUUCUAGUGGUUGGGGAUGAGCUCGCGGCCUAUCAGCUUGUUGGUGGGGUAAUGGCCUACCAAGGCGGCGACGGGUAGCCGGCCCGAGAGGGUGGACGGCCACAUUGGGACUGAGAUACGGCCCAGACUCCUACGGGAGGCAGCAGUGGGGAAUAUUGCACAAUGGGCGGAAGCCUGAUGCAGCGACGCCGCGUGGGGGAUGACGGCCUUCGGGUUGUAAACUCCUUUCGACCGCGAGGAAGCCACCUGGUUGGAAGGGUGGUGACGGUAGUGGUAGAAGAAGCACCGGCUAACUACGUG